CCUACGGGAGGCAGCAGUGGGGAAUAUUGGGCAAUGGACGCAAGUCUGACCCAGCAACGCCGCGUGAAGGAAGAAGGCUUUCGGGUUGUAAACUUCUUUUAAGGGGGAAGAGCAGAAGACGGUACCCCUUGAAUAAGCCACGGCUAACUACGUGCCAGCAGCUGCGGUAAUACGCAGGUGGCAAGCGUUGUCCGGAUUUACUGGGUGUAAAGGGCGUGCAGCCGGGGAGACAAGUCAGAUGUUAAAUCCACGGGCUCAACCCUUGAACUGCAUUUGAAACUGUUUCCCUUGAGUGUCGGAGAGGUAAUCGGAAUUCGUUGUGUAGCGGUGAAAUGCGUAGAUAUAAGGAAGAACACCAGUGGCGAAGGCAGAUUACUGGACGGUAACUGACGGUGAGGCGCGAAAGCGUGGGGAGCAAACAGGAUUAGAUACCCGAGUAGUC
rnacentral:rRNA from 1 species